GAGGAAUAUUGGUCAAUGGACGAGAGUCUGAACCAGCCAAGUAGCGUGAAGGAUGACUGCCCUAUGGGUUGUAAACUUCUUUUAUACGGGAAUAAAGUGAGGCACGUGUGCCUUUUUGUAUGUACCGUAUGAAUAAGGAUCGGCUAACUCCGUGCCAGCAGCCGCGGUAAUACGGAGGAUCCGAGCGUUAUCCGGAUUUAUUGGGUUUAAAGGGAGCGUAGGCGGACGCUUAAGUCAGUUGUGAAAGUUUGCGGCUCAACCGUAAAAUUGCAGUUGAUACUGGGUGUCUUGAGUACAGUAGAGGCAGGCGGAAUUCGUGGUGUAGCGGUGAAAUGCUUAGAUAUCACGAAGAACUCCGAUUGCGAAGGCAGCCUGCUGGACUGUAACUGACGCUGAUGCUCGAAAGUGUGGGUAUCAAACAGGAUUAGAUACCCUGGUAGUCCACACAGUAAACGAUGAAUACUCGCUGUUUGCGAUAUACAGUAAGCGGCCAAGCGAAAGCGUUAAGUAUUCCACCUGGGGAGUACGCCGGCAACGGUGAAACUCAAAGGAAUUGACGGGGGCCCGCACAAGCGGAGGAACAUGUGGUUUAAUUCGAUGAUACGCGAGGAACCUUACCCGGGCUUGAAUUGCAACUGAAUGAUGUGGAGACAUGUCAGCCGCAAGGCAGUUGUGAAGGUGCUGCAUGGUUGUCGUCAGCUCGUGCCGUGAGGUGUCGGCUUAAGUGCCAUAACGAGCGCAACCCUUAUCGAUAGUUACCAUCAGGUUAUGCUGGGGACUCUGUCGAGACUGCCGUCGUAAGAUGUGAGGAAGGUGGGGAUGACGUCAAAUCAGCACGGCCCUUACGUCCGGGGCUACACACGUGUUACAAUGGGGGGUACAGAAGGCAGCUACACGGCGACGUGAUGCUAAUCCCGAAAGCCUCUCUCAGUUCGGAUUGGAGUCUGCAACCCGACUCCAUGAAGCUGGAUUCGCUAGUAAUCGCGCAUCAGCCACGGCGCGGUGAAUACGUUCCCG
rnacentral:rRNA from 1 species